CCUUACAGAAGAAGAAACUCGUCAGAUAAAGUUUUGGAUCUCAAAUCGUAAAGAAAGUUUGAACAGUUGAACCUUAAAAGUUCAUGAAAACAAAGAAAGUAGUGUCUCUAAAUUGGCAAAGAAGUCAUCUGUCCUGCAGAAGGGCUCUUUCUGAGUCUUACAGGAAAGAUAAUAUAGAAAAAAGAAAAGUGUCUAUUUGUGAAUCUGCCACCAAAGAAAAACAGCAUGCUAAUGAAUACCAAGGAAAUAAUUAAUGAGUACUGUGAGCAAACAGUAUAGUAUUCAGUUUUUGAAAAGCUGAACAAACAAGAGAGUAGGAAAACACAAGCAUUUAGGCUCAUCAGAUAACAAGAAAGAGACUGAACAGACCUGUCAACUUUUGGCUUUUGUUGUCUACCUCUCUGCUUACUCAACGCUACUAUUCACUGUAUACUUUAAACUAUUUGUAAAUCCCAGGUUUCCAUGUAUCACUAAUUUCUCCUGGAAAAAAGUAGUAUGGUGUCUAAUACAUAUAAUAAUUUUUUGUGGGUCCAGACUGUGGUUACAAAGGCCUAAAUCUGGUUUGUCUCCCAUUUUACACUGAAGUGGUUGCUUUGAAUUAUUUCCAUCCAUGUUCAUCAAGGGAGAGUCAAAACAAUUCAAAUAUAUCAUAGUUCAAAAUAAGUUGAAGUUUAGUUUGAUUAAUUUUGCUGUUGAAAUUUUUCAUUCUACAAGUUCAGUAUUGAAUUCUUAGGUCCUUAAUUCAUAGUAUGUCUAGGUUUUCUUUCCACUUCUUGUCUGUUAUUUUUUAUGAGGAAUGUGAAUCUAAAGAAAACAAUCAUUAAUUGUAUUCUAGAGGCAUUCUAUGAGCAUCAUCAGCUCAUUUUUACAUAGAAAUCAAGUUUAAGGAUGUAUUUUUCCUCAUUAUUUUGCGUAGUUUAAAUCAGUGAUUGUUGUUAUUGGUGCCAUCAUUAUUAUUUCACAGUAAAUAUCAUAUUCGACACCAUAUAAAAGGUCAAUGACUUCAUUUCCUCUACAAUGAGACUCCAAGUGCCUCCAUAAUUUUCCUUCAAAUCAAAGUAGGUGCCAAUUUAAAACCUCCAUGCUCUGCAGAUCAUUCUGAAACAUUAAUCCUUAUGUUUCAGAAGAAAAUACUGUUUAUGUCUGUGAUGUCUUGACAGUGACUUUAAAUGGCAAAAUGCUAAAAUGCCUUUGUAUUUCUAGUUUACCUUCAAUAAAUGUCAGAUUUGAAUGAGAUACCUAUUUGAAUGCUCAGAGAGUGAAACAAACUGACUUCUCAAAAACAAACGAAUAAUGGAAUGGAUUCCUUUUUGCUCAGAUAUUGAGUGGAUAAUAAAUUAAAACCAUUUAAAAAAAAAAAUACUUCAGGACUAAUCUGAGAGUAAACGAUGAGAUUAAAUAUAGCUUUCUAGCAAAGGUUUUCAGACAAAUAAA